rnacentral:misc_RNA from 1 species
AGAAUGUAUAGCUGCCGUUAAUUUUCAGAUUUCCAAGAAGAUACAAAUUCAUCUAUACUAGAUUCUUUUACGAAAUUUUAUCAUCUCAGAAAAGCUAAUUUCUAUUAACAUUCUAUCGUAUCCUUUAAAGAAUCAUAUUGCUUUUGAUGAUAGUCUUAAAAAAGGAUCCGAUAGAUCGAUAGGAAGGGGUUUGUAUCGUAUAGAAUUUCUUUUUCAAACCUCAUUGGAUUUUUCAUAGGUCGUGCGUUCGCACAGAUCUUCGCAUAUCCCGACUGCGACAAAUUCGUUUAGUUAAUUGACUGGAACGAUCAUCGCGAUCGAUCGCGACUGGUGUUCGCUUAGAAGAGGAGAUCUCGUGCACCCCCUUUGCUCUUUCCGUGUCGUGGGACGUUGGUGCGGGACGUUGGUGCGGGACGUUGGUGCGGGACGUUGGUGCGGGACGUUGGUGCGGGACGUUGCCGCGGUUCGUUACCACCGCGAAUAUCAGGCCAGCUGUCUAUGCUUUUAUUAUAAAACAGGCCCGUUGGCGAAUGGUGCACGCGACUGAGCCACAUUUUUUAUACUGUAUAAUUUAUUUCUCCAACUAUUCGCCAGAGAUCAUGUCAGUUUUAGAAGAGAAAGGAAAUUUAGCAUGAAUUUUCGCAAUCAAAGAGAAUUUUAUAUAAUAGUCUAAUGAAUUAUUAAAUACAAUAAGCUGUACGCAAGGCAAAUCGUACCCAGCAAUAAACGUAAAAAACAAAUAAAAUUUCAAACGAAGGAAAAUUUAUUUCUGCAGCUUUUUUGUUUCUUAAAAUGUCGAUUGUGACCAACGAAACGCAAAGUAUCGAGUAGAUACCACUAGUCAUCGUGACAAAGUAAACCGUUGAAAAGGCUCACGUUCGCGUCGCUUUCGCCGUCAAGGGACACGUGCCAUGAGCCAUUUUACUUCCCUGCAGCGAACGUAAACGAGGAAGAAUCGUGCACGGUUUCAGCAGUUGCAGGAUAAGUUCUUGGAACAAAUAAUCGGCAAACUCGUCGUGUAAACGUACGCACGAGAAUAGUAGCUCGGUGGCCGAAGACGGCAGGCUUGAUGUUGAACUGUGAUGACCGCGAAUCGCUGGCGGAAAGUACUCGAAAGCGUCGUGAUUCUGUCGUGUGUUGGCGUGCCGGUGCACAAACCAGACUGACGGAUAGCAGUAAUCGAGGAAAGACGAUCGAGAAGAAGAAACAGUUUCGCUAGACAGUUGUCCAUUGUCUUGAGUUUUUUAUCUCGUGAGCUGCCUCGUCGCAAACAGCACGCACUUUCCAGCCGAAUCAUUAAUCCACAGAGAGGGAUGAAGCGCAAGCUGGAAGAUAGUUAACGAUCGUGCAAUGAUGUCGAGCGUUGAUUCACAGCGCAGGAUCGUUUGUUUCCUGUAGAAGUAGAACAAUGGAUCACGAGGAUCGAACUCAAGUUCGUUGACGUGGUCGACCGAUAGAAAGAAUCCCGUAAAUGGACCAACAGCCUGGCGGUCUACGCUAAUAGAGAAGAGUGAACGAUAACCAAUAUGUAACAGAGCGACUCUCCUGCAGAACCAGUCGAACGACUCGGUGGUAUCGGAACCCCGCAGCCAGGUUCCAACAAGGUGUGAAGCACGUAUCGUACACGUAUACGU